rnacentral:rRNA from 1 species
UACAGAGGUCUCAAGCGUUGUUCGGAUUCAUUGGGCGUAAAGGGUGCGUAGGCGGCGCGGUAAGUCGGGUGUGAAAUCUCGGGGCUUAACUCCGAAACUGCAUUCGAUACUGCCGUGCUUGAGGACUGGAGAGGAGACUGGAAUUUACGGUGUAGCGGUGGAAUGCGCAGAUAUCAGGAAGAACACCGACGGCGAAGGCAGCUCGCUGGGACGGUACUGACGCUGAGGCGCGAAAGCGUGGGGAGCGAACAGG